rnacentral:rRNA from 1 species
AUUGAACGCUGGCGGCAUGCUUUACACAUGCAAGUCGAACGGCAGCGCGGGCUUCGGCCUGGCGGCGAGUGGCGAACGGGUGAGUAAUACAUCGGAACGUGCCCAGUAGUGGGGGAUAGCUCGGCGAAAGCCGGAUUAAUACCGCAUACGACCUGAGGGUGAAAGCGGGGGAUCUUCGGACCUCGCGCUAUUUGAGCGGCCGAUGGCAGAUUAGCUAGUUGGUGGGGUAAAGGCCUACCAAGGCGACGAUCUGUAGCUGGUCUGAGAGGACGACCAGCCACACUGGGACUGAGACACGGCCCAGACUCCUACGGGAGGCAGCAGUGGGGAAUUUUGGACAAUGGGCGAAAGCCUGAUCCAGCAAUGCCGCGUGUGUGAUGAGGGCCUUCGGGUUGUAAAGCACUUUUGGCGGGAACGAAAAGGACUGUGCCAAUACCACGGUUCGAUGACGGUACCCGCAGAAUAAGCACCGGCUAACUACGUG